GAUGAACGCUGACAGAAUGCUUAACACAUGCAAGUCUACUUGAACUUCCGUUUGGGUGGCGGACGGGUGAGUAACGCAUAAAUAACUUGCCCCACAGAUACGGACCCCUUUUGUAAACGAAUCCUAAUACCUCUUAUUCUGAUUCUAAAUCAUCCUAGAAUCAUGAUAGUUAUAUGUACUGUGAGAGGGCUUUGCGUCCCAUUAGCUAGUUGGAGCGGUAACGGCUCACCAAGGCGAUGAUGGGUAGCCGGCCUGAGAGGGUGCUCGGCGAGAAGGGGACUGGAAAACGGCCCUUAUCCGUACGGGGGGCAGCAGUGGGGAAAAUUGGACAAUGGACCAAGAGUCUGACAGAAAAGUUGUGUGUGGAAGAAGAGGGUUUUCGGAAUGUACAGUGCUUGCAGUUGGGGAGAAAAAAAUGACGGUACCAACUGAAGAAGGGACGGCUAAAUACGUG
rnacentral:rRNA from 1 species